UUUGUAAAUCGAAUCAAAUCCUAUUUUGUUCACUAAAACAGACUCACAAGAACAACUAGUUCACUCAUCCAGUCUUUGAGUUCAACUCAUCGACUUACUGAUUUGGUCUCUGCAGUUCCAGGAUGCAUACGAUUACUUUUGUUGCCAUUUUCAAAGCUUGAUCAACCUACUGUGAACUGAUAUAGUAUAGGAAAUAGCAAUGAGAAUAUUUACCAAAAGUUUCCUUUUUGUGUUCCAUGAAAAAAAUAAAAUAAAUAACAGCAUACAGGUUAAGAACAACAUGAGCGUGAGUAAAUAAUGACAGAAUAUUCAGUUUUGAAUCAACUGAUCUUCAUAAAUAGCUUCAUGUAAUUUGCUAUUUACAGACAUCACAGAACUAGGCUGAUGUUCUGCCAGAUCUGCACAGAUGCCACGAGCAGAACCUGCUUGUAGUGCACCCUUUGUGGUCAGUUUUUCCCAUUUAUAUGUGAAAGGUCUAAAUUGUGCUGUUACUUUCAACCUGCGCAUAGUUUAACAUUUCUUUAGUUUUCUGCUAUAGUUCACACGUAAAAUGUGGAGUUAUUUUAUCAUCUCAUUUCCAGAGUUUUGUUUACUGAGAAAAAUGUAUUUAAGUUCUUUAAAUACAAAACAUGUUUAAAUUGAUUUUGGAAGGCAUUGUAUGUGCUUUUAUAACUCAGGCUAAUCAAAUAUAUUGUUUGAUUUAAUAAUUUAUUUAGUACAAUUUGAAUGCUUUGUUUUACCGCAGUAGAAUGAAGUGCCAUAAUUAUGAUGAUAAGCCUUUGUUAUUAUGCGAACACACAGAUACACCUAAGACAAUGGGACCAAAAACUGUUGAACAAUGAGCCAGAGGGAAGGACUUGAUGCUGAAAUUCAUAUUAGAUAUAUAUAUUUGUAGAUAUUGGUGUAGAGAAAAAAUGGUACAGUAGAAAGUAUUUAGCUUUCUCUUAUUUUGAAAAUGAGCUGGAGAAGAAAAAAAAACAAUUAAAACAUUUACUUUUGUAUUAUGACAUGCAGAAAUAUAAAGUAUUUAAUAUGAUAUAUUUAGACCGAUUUGAAUGGCCUACACUUUAUGUGCCUCCACACACACAGAACAGGACAUAAGCUAAAUCAGUAAGUUUAAAACAUAAAUGAGGAGUAAUGAUUUCACUUGAGAAGUCCUGCAUGUUUAUUAUGUGUAUAUAUGAUUAGUGGGCCUAUACAUGAUGUAGUCAAUCUUAACACUGUGCUAAGCAAUGUGCCAUUCUUUUAUAUGUAAAGAUAUUGCCUUACUGAGAAAUAUCAAGUAUUAUACAACUCUUCUGCUGCUGCCAUUGCUGUGAAACCAGCAUGUUCAUGUUUUAAUAGAAAUGUCUUAAGCUGUCAUGAUAUGUGGUGUAUGAUAUGUAUUUUGUUACAUAUAAUGUACUUCUGCUGUUUGUUGCGUUUCCUGAAGUGCUGCUCCUCUCUAUUACCUUCUCAUGUAGCAUUUUCCUAUGAAUCUCCAUCUUUUGCAAAAUUCUUAAAAUGCAUAGGCAGUUAAAUGUCUGUACAAGCAAGUUGAUAAAUGUACAUGAUAUAUAGACAUGCUAUUACAUUUAAUCUUCUGUAUGGUUAGUCUUGUAUGUGACUAGAUAUUUUUGGAGCAGUGUAUUUGCCUUACGGAUGCACACCGCUGAGCAUUACUGAGACAUUAUAAAGAACUUGAUUCAGGUUUGUUAUUGAAACAUUUGUACAGUUUGCUAUUGGAAUUGGUUGAAUUCAUCAAACCUCAAAUCACUGUAAUUUUCAGCAUUUGCCUUGUUCUGUUUUCUUCAGUUUAAUAAAGAUGGCCUCAAACU